AACGAACGCUGGCGGCAGGCCUAACACAUGCAAGUCGAACGCUGUAGCAAUACAGAGUGGCAGACGGGUGAGUAACGCGUGGGAACCUUCCCAAUGGUGCGGAAUAGCCCAGGGAAACUUGGGGUAAUACCGCAUAAGCCCUUAGGGGGAAAGAUUUAUCGCCAUUGGAUGGGCCCGCGUCGGAUUAGCUAGUUGGUGAGGUAAUGGCUCACCAAGGCAACGAUCCGUAGCUGGUUUGAGAGAAUGACCAGCCACACUGGGACUGAGACACGGCCCAGACUCCUACGGGAGGCAGCAGUGGGGAAUCUUGGACAAUGGGCGCAAGCCUGAUCCAGCCAUGCCGCGUGAGUGACGAAGGCCUUAGGGUUGUAAAGCUCUUUUGCCGGGGACGAUAAUGACGGUACCCGGAGAAUAAGUCCCGGCUAACUUCGUGCCAGCAGCCGCAGUAA
rnacentral:rRNA from 1 species